AAUAUCAAAGGUGAGCCAGUACAGGAUGGACCCGCGUCUGAUUAGCUAGUUGGUAAGGUAACGGCUUACCAAGGCGACGAUCAGUAGCCGACCUGAGAGGGUGAUCGGCCACAUUGGAACUGAGACACGGUCCAAACUCCUACGGGAGGCAGCAGUGGGGAAUAUUGCACAAUGGGCGAAAGCCUGAUGCAGCAACGCCGCGUGAGUGAUGAAGGCCUUCGGGUCGGAAAACUCUGUCCUCAAGGAAGAUAAUGACGGUACUUGAGGAGGAAGCCCCGGCUAACUACGUGCCAGCAGCCGCGGUAAUACG
rnacentral:rRNA from 1 species